rnacentral:rRNA from 1 species
CAGAGACUGCAAGCGUUAUUCGGAUUCACUGGGCGUAAAGGGUGCGCAGGCGGCCAAGUGUGUGAGGCGUGAAAGCCUGGAGCUUAACUCCAGAAUUGCACCUCAAACUACAUGGCUAGAGCAUUGGAGAGGGUAGCGGAAUUCACGGUGUAGCAGUGAAAUGCGUAGAUAUCGUGAGGAACACCAGAGGCGAAGGCGGCUACCUGGACAAUUGCCGACGCUCAGGCACGAAAGCGUGGGGAGCAAAAGGGAUUAGAUACCCCUGUAGUCCACGCCCUAAACGGUGCACACUAGGUCUUGGCGGAUUCGACCCCACCAGGGCCCAAGCUAACGCGUUAAGUGUGCCGCCUGAGGACUACGGCCGCAAGGCUA